GAUGAACGCUGGCGGCGUGCUUAACACACGCAAGUCGAACGAAGCAUUUAAGACAGAUUACUUCGGUUUGAAGUCUUUUAUGACUGAGUGGCGGACGGGUGAGUAACGCGUGGGUAACCUGCCUCAUACAGGGGGAUAGCAGCUGGAAACGGCUGGUAAUACCGCAUAAGCGCACAGUACCACAUGGUACAGUGUGAAAAACUCCGGUGGUAUGAGAUGGACCCGCGUCUGAUUAGCUUGUUGGCGGGGUAACGGCCCACCAAGGCGACGAUCAGUAGCCGACCUGAGAGGGUGACCGGCCACAUUGGGACUGAGACACGGCCCAGACUCCUACGGGAGGCAGCAGUGGGGAAUAUUGCACAAUGGAGGAAACUCUGAUGCAGCGACGCCGCGUGAGUGAAGAAGUAGUUCGCUAUGUAAAGCUCUAUCAGCAGGGAAGAUAGUGACGGUACCUGACUAAGAAGCUCCGGCUAAAUACGUG
rnacentral:rRNA from 1 species